rnacentral:rRNA from 1 species
CCGUAGCCCAAGAGAUCGGGAUAACACCUGGAAACAGAUGCUAAUACAGGAUAACAACAGAUGAUGCCUAUCAACUGUUUAAAAGAUGGUUCUGCUAUCACUCUUGGAUGGACCUGCGGUGCAUUAGCUAGUUGGUAGGGUAACGGCCUACCAAGGCGAUGAUGCAUAGCCGAGUUGAGAGACUGAUCGGCCACAUUGGGACUGAGACACGGCCCAAACUCCUACGGGAGGCAGCAGCU